CCUACGGGAGACAGCAGUGAGGAAUAUUGGUCAAUGGGCGAGAGCCUGAACCAGCCAAGUCGCGUGAGGGAGUACUGCCCUAUGGGUUGUAAACCUCUUUUGUCGGGGAGCAAAAGCCGGACGUGUCCGGCUGUGAGAGUACCCGAAGAAAAAGCAUCGGCUAACUCCGUGCCAGCAGCCGCGGUAAUACGGAGGAUGCGAGCGUUAUCCGGAUUUAUUGGGUUUAAAGGGUGCGCAGGCGGAUUUUUAAGUCAGCGGUCAAAUCGUGGGGCUCAACCCCAUCCAGCCGUUGAAACUGGGGAUCGAGAGGGGGCGAGAGGUAUGCGGAAUGCGUGGUGGAGCGGUGAAAGGCAUAGAUAUCACGCAGAACCGCGAUUGCGAAGGAAGCAUACCGGUGAACAACUGACGCUCAGGCACGAAAGCGUGGGUAUCGAACAGGAUUAGAUACCCGGGUAGUC
rnacentral:rRNA from 1 species